rnacentral:rRNA from 1 species
AUUGAACGCUGGCGGCAUGCUUUACACAUGCAAGUCGAACGGCAGCGCGGACUUCGGUCUGGCGGCGAGUGGCGAACGGGUGAGUAAUACAUCGGAACGUGCCCAGUAAUGGGGGAUAACUAUCCGAAAGGAUAGCUAAUACCGCAUACGCCCUGAGGGGGAAAGUGGGGGACCAGCAAUGGCCUCACGUUAUUGGAGCGGCCGAUGGCUGAUUAGCUAGUUGGUGAGGUAAAGGCUCACCAAGGCGACGAUCAGUAGCGGGUCUUAGAGGACGAUCCGCCACACUGGAACUGAGACACGGUCCAGACUCCUACGGGAGGCAGCAGCGGGGAAUCUUGGACAAUGGGCGCAAGCCUGAUCCAGCAAUGCCGCGUGGGUGAAGAAGGCCUUCGGGUUGUAAAGCCCUUUUGUUUGGGAGCAAAUCCUUGAUGUUAAUACCGUCUGGGGAUGAGAGUACCAAAAGAAUAAGCACCGGCUAACUACGUGCCAGCCGCCGCCGUAA